ACAGCCCAGUAGGCUUUGCAAGAGAGCGACUGGAGAAAAAAGUGACUCAGUCUCUUAUUAUAUCAAUGGUCUUUGCUGAUUUAGUACAACUCGGGCUCUGCUGUUGUUAUUUGUGGUUUUUGGAACUACUGAUUAUUUUGAUUAAGAGUUCAUUGCUGCUUAUUCAAUAGUAAUUCUACCCUGGCACCGGGCUGCUAAGACAGGAAGUGGAGCCUAUCAUUUAUGAUGCUGGGCAUCAGAAGCUCAGGAGAAUUCAGCCCCUGGUAAAGACCAUAACGGCGUAGAACUCAGCCCGGUGCUAUCAUACCCACACUCUGAGUGCGUUACGGAGAUGCAUGCAUGAGAGAGGAAGCAGAGGAGACGCUGUUCCAGAGCAAGUCCCCUCUCAGGGGGCUGACCCAAAGUCAUUGUACAGCUCAUCCCCUGCUUUCGGGAGAAGACAUGCCUGUGUGGAGAAACUGGCUCAGCCUGCUUGGGAGAUACUGUGGGCCCAGCCCGGCAGACACAGAAGAGUUGAUGAAGGCACAUGAGAAGAAGACGAGAAGCUUUGGCCAAGUGAAGCAGAACCUCAGAGGCCAGGACGAGGAAUUUGUUUCAAUGCUGCACACAGCAGGAAACCGUCAAACGCUUUGAAGCAGGCAUGGGAUGGGAUGAACUUGGAGCUUUUAGAAAAUUGAUCUGGAAGUACGACUACUUCCAUGAAUCGGUGGGCUCUGAAAAGCAGGGUUCUUGGCUAUUUUUGUUCAUUAUUAUAUCUCUAGCAACAAUCAAUGUGCUUGGUAUGUAGAAA